UACGGAAGGCAGCAGUGGGGAAUAUUGCACAAUGGGCGCAAGCCUGAUGCAGCCAUGCCGCGUGUAUGAAAAAGGCCUUCGGGUUGUAAAGUACUUUCAGUCGUGAGGAAGGUGUUAAGGUUAAUAACCUUAGCAAUUGACGUUAGCGACAGAAGAAGCACCGGCUAACUCCGUGCCAGCAGCCGCGGUAAUACGGAGGGUGCGAGCGUUAAUCGGAAUUACUGGGCGUAAAGGGCACGCAGGCGGUUAAUUAAGUUGGAUGUGAAAUCCCCGGGCUUAACCUGGGAAUGGCAUUCAAGCUGGUUAGCUAGAGUCUUGUAGAGGGGGUAGAAUUCCGAUGUGUAGCGGUGAAAUGCGUAGAGAUGUGGAGGAAUACCGGUGGCGAAGGCGGCCCCUGGACAAAGACUGACGCUCAUGUGCGAAAGCGUGGGGAGCAAACAGGGAUUAGAUACC
rnacentral:rRNA from 1 species